AUGACCUUACUUGAACAAGAUCUGUUCUAUAGGCUCGUACCACCUUAUCCUUGAGUCCUAAGGAGAUAGGAAACCAAGUCUGAUUGAUCUAGUAUGGCUAUGAAACCAGAGCGUGACUAUCAACCACCUUGGGUCCUUAGUGGCCAUGGAACUAUAGAGGAUCAUUCUCAGCUCUGCUCGCAGGCCUGAGAUGGUUUCAUAGCUGACUCCAAUCU